CAGCCGCCACGGUAAAACGUAGGGUGCGAGCGUUAAUCGGAAUUACUGGGCGUAAAGCGUGCGUAGGCGGUUCGUUAAGUCUGUUGUGAAAGCCCCGGGCUCAACCUGGGAAUGGCAAUGGAUACUGGCGAGCUAGAGUGUGUCAGAGGAUGGUGGAAUUCCCGGUGUAGCGGUGAAAUGCGUAGAGAUCGGGAGGAACAUCAGUGGCGAAGGCGGCCAUCUGGGACAACACUGACGCUGAGGCACGAAAGCGUGGGGAGCAAACAGGAUUAGAUACCCCCGUAGUCCCUGUCUCUUAUAA
rnacentral:rRNA from 1 species